CGGAGUUGACUCCAGUCGCCCCAGUGCUACGCUCCUUCCCACCCUUCAAAAUUACCUGGAAAACAAACAGGACAAAACAAAGAAGACAGAAGGAAGAGAGAAAACAAAAGAACUGUAGGAGCCAAAGAAGGCCUCUUUGGAGAAAAACCUGGAACCAUGAAGGCUGAUGACCUCAGCAGAAGAGACUCCAUUCCACAGCUGAUACUCGACAACUGCUUAAAACAACAGCUGAAUGGAGAUGGGAAAUGUCUAAUAUUCAACCACAUGCUAAUGAAAAAUAAUCUGUGGGUUAUAUUAGGAUGCUGAUUAUUUGAAA